AGAAAACACUGGCCAAUAACAGAGUAACCAGCUAAGGUGAGAGAAAACACUGGCCAAUAACAGAGUAACCCAGCUAAGGUGAGAGAAAACACUGGCCAAUAACAGAGUAACCAGCUAAGGUGAGAGAAAACACUGGCCAAUAACAGGGUAACCCAGCUAAGGUGAGAGAAAACACUGGCCAAUAACAGAGUAACCCAGCUAAGGUGAGAGAAAACACUGGCCAAUAACAGGGUAACCAGCUAAGGUGAGAGAAAACACUGGCCAAUAACAGAGUAACCCAGCUAAGGUGAGAGAAAACACUGGCCAAUAACAGAGUAACCCAGCUAAGGUGAGAGAAAACACUGGCCAAUAACAGGGUAACCAGCUAAGGUGAGAGAAAACACUGUCCAAUAACAGAGUAACCCAGCUAAGGUGAGAGGA